rnacentral:SRP_RNA from 3 species
AAGCAGGUCUUCCGCGGCGGACGGCUGCGAACCAUGUCAGGCGGGGAACCGAGCAGCAUUAAGCAGUUGCGGUCCGAGCGCGGGAGGCGCCUGCUUAUC